AUGAUGAUAAGAUGUUUAAUGUUUAGAUACAUGAUGAUAAGAUGUUUCAUGAUAAGAUGUUUCAUGUUUAGAUACAUGAUAAGAUGUUUCAUGUUUAUAUACAUGAUGAUAAGAUGUUUCAUGUUUAGAUACAUGUAGUAUAUGAUAAGAUGUUUCAUGUUUAGAUACAUGUAGUAUAUGAUAAGAUGUUUCAUGUUUAGAUACAUGUAGUACAUGAUGAUAAGAUGUUUAAUGUUUAGAUACAAGUAGUAUAUGAUGAUAAGAUGUUUCAUUUUUAGAUACAUGUAGUAUAUGAUGAUUAGAUGUUUCAUUUUUAGAUACAGGUAGUAUAUGAUGAUAAGAUGAUUAAUGUUUAGAUACAUGAUGAUAAGAUGUUUAAUGUUUAGAUACAUGAUGAUAAGAUGUUUAAUGUUUAGAUACAUGUAGUAUAUGAUGAUAAGAUGUUUCAUGUUUAGAUACAUGAUGAUAAGAUGUUUCAUGUUUAGAUACAUGUAGUAUAUUAUAAGAUGUUUCAUGUUUAGAUACAUGUAGUAUAUGAUAAGAUGUUUCAUGUUUAUGAUUAUUAUGAUGUUUAUGUAUGAUGAUAAGAUGAUUCAUGUUUAGAUACAUAUAGUAUAUAUGAUGAUAAGAUGUUUCAUGUUUAGAUACAUGUAGUAUAUGAUAAGAUGUUUCAUGUUUAGAUACAUGUAGUGUAUGAUAAGAUGAUUCAUGUUUAGAUACAUGUAGUAUAUGAUGAUAAGAUGUUUCAUGUUUAGAUACAUGAUGAGAAGAUGUUUCAUGUUUAGAUACAUGUAGUAUAUGAUGAUAAGAUGUUUCAUGUUUAGAUACAUGUAGUAUAUGAUGAUUAGAUGUUUAAUGUUUAGAUACAUGAUGAUAAGUUGUUUCAUGAUAAGAUGUUUCAUGUUUAGAUACAUGAUGAUAAGAUGUUUAAUGUUUAGAUACAAGUAGUAUAUGAUGAUAAGAUGUUUCAUGUUUAGAUACAUGUAGUAUAUGAUGAUUAGAUGUUUAAUGUUUAGAUACAUGAUGAUAAGUUGUUUCAUGAUAAGAUGUUUCAUGUUUAGAUACAUGAUGAUAAGAUGUUUCAUGUUUAGAUACAUGUAGUAUAUGAUAAGAUGUUUCAUGUUUAGAUACAUGUAGUAUAUGAUGAUAAGAUGAUUCAUGUUUAGAUACAUGUAGUAUAUGAUGAUUAGAUGUUUCAUUUUUAGAUACAGGUAGUAUAUGAUGAUAAGAUGAUUAAUGUUUAGAUACAUGAUGAUAAGAUGUUUAAUGUUUAGAUACAUGAUGAUAAGAUGUUUCAUGUUUAGAUACAUGUAGUAUAUUAUAAGAUGUUUCAUGUUUAGAUACAUGUAGUGUAUGAUAAGAUGAUUCAUGUUUAGAUAUGAUGAUGAUGAUGAUAAGAUGUUUAAUGUUUAGAUACAUGAUGAUAAGAUGUUUAAUGUUUAGAUACAUGUAAUAGUAACAUAAUGUUUAGUAAACAUGAUGAUUAGAUGUUUCAUUUUUAGAUACAUGUAGUAUAUGAUGAUAAGAUGAUUCAUGUUUAGAUACAUGAUGAUAAGAUGUUUAAUGUUUAGAUACAUGAUGAUAAGAUGUUUAAUGUUUAGAUACAUGUAGUAUAUGAUGAUAAGAUGUUUCAUGUUUAGAUACAUGAUGAUAAGAUGUUUCAUGUUUAGAUACAUGUAGUAUAUGAUGAUAAGAUGUUUCAUGUUUAGAUACAUGUAGUAUAUUAUAAGAUGUUUCAUGUUUAGAUACAUGUAGUAUAUGAUAAGAUGUUUCAUGUUUAGAUACAUGUAGUAUAUGAUAAGAUGUUUCAUGUUUAGGUACAUGUAGUAUAUGAUAAGAUGUUUCAUGUUUAGAUACAUGUAGUAGUAUGAGAUGAUAAGAUGUUUCAUGUUUAGAUACAUGUAGUAUAUGAUAAGAUGUUUCAUGUUUAGAUACAUGUAGUAUAUGAUAAGAUGUUUCAUGUUUAGAUACAUGUAGUAUAUGAUAAGAUGAUUCAUGUUUAGAUACAUGAUGAUAAGAUGUUUAAUGUUUAGAUACAUGAUGAUAAGAUGUUUGAUGUUUAGAUACAUGUAGUAUAUGAUGAUAAGAUGUUUCAUGUUUAGAUAUAUGUAGUAUAUGAUAAGCUGUUUCAUGUUUAGAUACAUGUAGUAUAUUAUAAGAUGUUUCAUGUUUAGAUACAUGUAGUGUAUGAUAAGAUGAUUCAUGUUUAGAUACAUGUAGUAUAUGAUGAUUAGAUGUUUCAUGUUUAGAUACAUGUAGUGUAUGAUGAUAAGAUGAUUCAUGUUUAGAUACAUGUAGUAUAUGAUGAUUAGAUGUUUCAUUUUUAGAUACAUGUAGUAUAUGAUGAUAAGAUGUUUCAUGUUUAGAUACAUGUAGUAUAUGAUAAGAUGUUUCAUGUUUAGAUACAUGUAGUAUAUGAUAAGAUGUUUCAUGUUUAGAUACAUGUAGUGUAUGAUGAUAAGAUGAUUCAUGUUUAGAUACAUGUAGUAUAUGAUGAUUAGAUGUUUCAUGUUUAGAUACAUGUAGUGUAUGAUGAUUAGAUGUUUCAUUUUUAGAUACAUUGUAGUAUAUGAUAAGAUGAUUAAUGUUUAGAUACAUGAUGAUAAGAUGUUUAAUGUUUAGAUACAUGAUGAUAAGAUGUUUCAUGAUAAGAUGUUUCAUGUUUAUAUACAUGAUGAUAAGAUGUUUCAUGUUUAGAUACAUGUAGUAUAUGAUGAUAAGAUGUUUAAUGUUUAGAUACAUGAUAAUAAGAUGUUUAAUGGUUAGAUACAUGAUAAGAUGUUUAAUGUCUAGAUACAUGUAGUAUAUGAUGAUAAGACAGUAGAAACAGUUUAUUAUAAGACUGUAUUAGCUAAAUUCGAAAGGAUAAUUCAUGCAUGGCUAAUGGUGUAUGAGGUUUGGAUGUCUGCCUCUUCUGAGGUAGAGACAGGUAGGGACCUUUACAUUGGUGCACCUGCAGUAAUUGCAGGGAGAUGACAACAGACCAAGAAAGGCUCUGCUGCCGCCAGGCCCCUGAAAACUCCGUCAGCAGCAUGGCACAUAUGCAGUUAUAUGUUCUUGACCCGGGCGUUUUACGGCUGGCAUGGGCUGCAUGGAAUGAUGUGUUUGCUGUUGAUGACGAACAGGAACCAGGGGUGGAGCAGCAACAGUACAGACAUGCGGCAUACCGCCAAUUUGUACUGUGGCAGCAUGGCCGCUUGGGUGAAGGCAAUAGGGUUAUUAUUCUGAGCUGCUGCAUUUGGAAGAUAAGAACUGCAUUUCCUGACCCCUUGGGUCAAUAUGUUGGCUUCAGGGUGCGCCGUUUGGUGUAAAUAUGUAAAUAGUUUUGUUAUUUAUGUUCAAUGUCAAAAAACAUGUACAGUUUGAUGUUCAUUGUUUUUUAUUUACAUAUAAAUAAAAAAAUAUUUCUUUUUACGACUCUUGAAUUAUUUGCAAAUUAUUUACAUACACAGCUAUGAAAGAAUGGAAUAGUUUAGAAUUCACUUUGGGCACCACCCUCUCCCCAUGAAACCUGAGCCGCGACAAGUCGAAAUGUGGAUGGAGGCUGCGUUUCGGCAAGCAAACCCAAGCGCCUGGGAUCAUCAGGCCUUAGACCCUGUAUUCUGGGAAGUGAAUUAUUUUUGGUAGUACACUACUGUUAUAGCAAAGCUUACAUUCGGUGUCCAUCCUUGCCACGUGCAGGAAUGCGGUGGUUGUGAUAGUUGUAAUCGAUUGCUGCAAGCAAUGUCUGGGUUUUGUAAACAGGGGGGCUGUAGGCAAACCGCUUUCCUGCAUACAUGAGUAUGUGGUUUUGGAAAUUCUCCAAAUCUGAAGUUGUCCUGAAAAAC
ensembl:lncRNA